rnacentral:rRNA from 1 species
UAGGGAAUCUUCCACAAUGAACGAAAGUCUGAUGGAGCAACGCCGCGUGAGUGAAGAAGGGUUUCGGCUCGUAAAACUCUGUUGUUAAAGAAGAACAUAUCUGAGAGUAACUGUUCAGGUAUUGACGGUAUUUAACCAGAAAGCCACGGCUAACUACGUGCCAG